UACAUGGGGUGCAAACGUUGCUCGGAAUUAUUGGGCGUAAAGCGCGCGUAGGCGGUUACUCAAGUCGGAUGGGAAAGCCCUCGGCUUAACUGAGGAAGUGCACCCGAAACUGAGUAGCUAGAGUACUAAAGAGGGUCGCGGAAUUCCCGGUGUAGAGGUGAAAUUCGUAGAUAUCGGGAAGAACACCCGUGGCGAAGGCGGCUCUCUGGGACGGUACUGACGCUGAGACGCGAAAGCGUGGGGAGCGAACAGG
rnacentral:rRNA from 1 species